GCCGGGUCGGCGUGCCCGCGGCGCUGACCUCGUCCCAGGCACCUGGCGCGUCCUGGCCCUUUCCCCCUACAUGGUCAGCGGAGCUUCCCCACGCGAAAGAGCUCAUGCAAACGCUCGGGGAGACUGCAGCGGCGAAUGGAAUGGAUGAAUGCACAGAGGUGUCAGCUAUUACUGUUUCUACUCAAGAGUGCCUGGCCUGUGAGUGAAUCUCACAGUAACGAUGCAGCAGCUAUGGUGGAAGACCUUUCAGACUUCCCCUGACAUCUUCCCACCUGAAAAGGGCCCCCUCCUUCUGCUUCCAACUCAACGUCUUCUCUUAAAGCCCAGGAGCCCGCUAGGUUCACAAACAAGUGCAAAGUACAGCAAGGAUGGGGAAGAUUUCUGUGGUGGACACUGAGAUGCCCCAUCCUGACCCCCUUCUGUGAAGGGCUUAUCGCCUCAGCUCUGCUGUCCACAGGCAACAUCCAGCUGUCAGUUCUCUCCAGACUUGUCCCAGCUGCAGAGCCACCUCACCCAAAGCCACACCCCAGGCCACACCUCUUCUGGAAGGCCCCGUCUCUGACAACUUAUCAACAAAACAGGAAUAAAGGCUCAACAUCUCAACCUAACUCUGUCUCAGAGUCAGCUUCCUAGGAAACCCAUCCUAUGACAGCUGUUACCAGGAGGCUUUCAAUAAAAGA